GUCCACCUUUGGGUGCGUACUGCUCAGCGGCGUUCGCGUCGCGUGGCUGAGCCUUGGCCGCGUCCUCGCAUGCAGCAAUGUGUGCGCGGGACAGGCAGUUACCUUGAAAAAAUUAGAGUGUUCAAAGCAGGCGUCUCCGCCGGAAUAGAUUAGCAUGGAAUAACGGAGUAGGACCUUGGUCUUGUUUUGCUGGUUCUCAGGACCACGGUAAUGAUCAACAGGGACAGUUGGGGGCACUCGUAUUUCAUUGC
rnacentral:rRNA from 1 species